rnacentral:rRNA from 1 species
UACGUAGGGUCCGAGCGUUGUCCGGAAUUAUUGGGCGUAAAGGGCUCGUAGGCGGUUUGCCACGUCGGGCGUGAAAACUCAGGGCUCAACCCUGAGCGUGCGUUCGAUACGGGCAGACUAGAGGUAUGCAGGGGAGAACGGAAUUCCUGGUGUAGCGGUGGAAUGCGCAGAUAUCAGGAGGAACACCGGUGGCGAAGGCGGUUCUCUGGGCAUUACCUGACGCUGAGGAGCGAAAGCAUGGGGAGCGAACAGG